UACGUAGGGUGCGAGCGUUAAUCGGAAUUACUGGGCGUAAAGCGUGCGCAGGCGGUUAUGUAAGACAGGUGUGAAAUCCCAGGGCUUAACCUUGGAACUGCAUUCGUGACUGCAUAGCUAGAGUACGGUAGAGGGGGAUGGAAUUCCGCGUGUAGCAGUGAAAUGCGUAGAUAUGCGGAGGAACACCGAUGGCGAAGGCAAUCCCCUGGACCUGUACUGACGCUCAUGCACGAAAGCGUGGGGAGCAAACAGG
rnacentral:rRNA from 1 species